UACAGAGGGGGCAAGCGUUGUUCGGAAUUACUGGGCGUAAAGGGCGCGUAGGCGGCCUGUUAAGUCGAACGUGAAAUCCCCGGGCUUAACCGGGGAACUGCAUCUGAUACUGGAUGGCUUGAGUUCGGGAGAGGGAUGCGGAAUUCCAGGUGUAGCGGUGAAAUGCGUAGAUAUCUGGAGGAACACCGGUGGCGAAGGCGGCAUCCUGGACCGACACUGACGCUGAGGAGCGAAAGCCAGGGGAGCAAACGGG
rnacentral:rRNA from 1 species